GACGAACGCUGGCGGCGUGCCUAAUACAUGCAAGUAGAACGCAGAUGCGAACGGGUGAGUAACGCGUAGGUAACUGCCUCAUAGCGGGGGAUAAAUAUUGGAAACGAUAGCUAAUACCGCAUACUGUGAGAUGGACCUGCGUUGUAUUAGCUAGUUGGUGAGGUAGAGGCUCACCAAGGCGACGAUACAUAGCCGACCUGAGAGGGUGGUCGGCCACGCUGGGAGUGAGCAACGGUCCAGACGCCCACGGGAGGCAGCAGUGGGGAAUAUGGCACAAUGGGCGCAAGCCUGAUGCAGCCAUGCCGCGUGUAUCGAGAGAGCCUUCGGGUUGUAAAGUACUUUCAGCGAGGAGCGUUACGCGCAGAAGAAGCGCCGGCUAACUCCGUGCCAGCAGCCGCGGUAAUAC
rnacentral:rRNA from 1 species